UACGUAGGGUGCGAGCGUUAAUCGGAAUUACUGGGCGUAAAGCGUGCGCAGGCGGUCUGUUAAGACCGAUGUGAAAUCCCCGGGCUUAACCUGGGAACUGCAUUGGUGACUGGCAGGCUUUGAGUGUGGCAGAGGGAGGUAGAAUUCCACGUGUAGCAGUGAAAUGCGUAGAGAUGCGGAGGAAUACCGAUGGCGAAGGCAGCCUCCUGGGCCAACACUGACGCUCAUGCACGAAAGCGUGGGGAGCAAACAGG
rnacentral:rRNA from 1 species